rnacentral:rRNA from 1 species
CCUACGGGAGGCAGCAGUGGGGAAUAUUGCACAAUGGGGGAAACCCUGAUGCAGCGACGCCGCGUGAGUGAAGAAGUAAUUCGUUAUGUAAAGCUCUAUCAGCAGGGAAGAAAAUGACGGUACCUGAGUAAGAAGCCACGGCUAACUACGUGCCAGCAGCCGCGGUAAUACGGAGGGGGUAAGCGUUAUCCGGAUUUACUGGUGGUAAAGGGAGCGUAGACGGCAGUGCAAGUCUGGAGUGAAAGGCGGGGGCUCAACCCCCGGACUGCUCUGGAAACUGUACGGCUGGAGUGCAGGAGAGGUAAGUGGAAUUCCUAGUGUAGCGGUGAAAUGCGGAGAUAUUAGGAGGAACACCAGUGGCGAAGGCGGCUUACUGGACUGUAACUGACGUUGAGGCUCGAAAGCGUGGGGAGCAAACAGGAUUAGAUACCCUAGUAGUC